ACAUAACUGAUGCCUCCGCGUAUCGACUUUGUGCGCAUUUUAGCUAUUAUGUGUUCUUUUAAUUAAAAUGAUUCUUUUUAAGAUUCAUCUAUUAAAAAUUUGCUUCGGCAUAAUUUUUUUUGAUGAUCUUGUUACUUUGAGUAAAUUAGAGUGUUCAAAGCAAACAGAUAUAGCAUUUGUGCGUUUGAAUACUACAGCAUGGAAUAACAAAAUUGAACAAGUCAGAAUUUUUUUGUUCUUUUUUCUUAUUUUGGCUUAGUUACGAUUAAUAGGAGUAGCUUGGGGGCAUUUGUAUUCAGAUGUCAGAGGUGAAAUUCUUAGAUUUUCUGGAGACAAACAACUGCGAAAGCAUUUGCCUAAAAUACUUCCAUUAAUCAAGAACGAAAGUUAAGGGAGUGAAGACGAUCAGAUACCGUCGUAAUCUUAACCAUAAACUAUGCCGACUAGGCUUUGGAUGAAAGAUUUUAAAAUAAGAGUUUUUCUUUUCUCUCCGGAGAUUAGAACUCUUAGAUUGCUUCCUUCAGUGCCUUAUGAGAAAUCAAGGUCUUUGGGUUCUGGGGCGAGUAUUCGCGCAAGCGAGAAAGUUAAAAGAAUUGACGGAAGGGCACCACCAGGCGUGGAGCUUGCGGCUUAAUUUGACUCAACACGGGAAAACUCACUAGUUUAAGACAAGAGUAGGAUUGACAGAUUAAUAGCUCUUUCUUGAUUUCUUGGAUGGUGAUGCAUGGCCGUUUUUAGUUCGUGAAUAUGAUUUGUCUGGUUAAUUCCGAUAACGAACGAGAUCUUAACCUGCUAAUUAGCGGCAAAUACGAUAUAUUCUUAUGUAGAAUUGAAUAUAGUGGAUUUGUUGGAUUUUGAAGAAAAUAUUGGAAUUACGUUAAAUGUGAUUCCUUUCCCUUUUCUACUUAAUUUACAUUUCCAUCUAUUUCUUUUUUGCGUAUGAAUGUAUUUGCUUGAUUGUAAAGCUUCUUAGAGGAACGAUGUGUG
rnacentral:rRNA from 1 species